CGAAAUGCGAUAAGUAGUGUGAAUUGCAGAAUUCAGUGAAUCAUCGAAUCUUUGAACGCACAUUGCGCCCCUUGGUAUUCCAUGGGGCAUGCCUGUUCGAGCGUCAUUUCAACCCUCAGAACCCCUUGCGGGAUCUGGCGUUGGGGAUUGGCAUCCAGCCAGCCCCGAAAUCUAGUGGCGGUCCCUCCGCGACCUCCCCUGUGCAGUAGCGAUACCUCGCAGCGGGACAGCGGUCUGACCACGCCGUAAAACCCCCAACUUCUCAAGGUUGACCUCGAAUCAGGUAGGAAUACCCGCUGAACUUAAGC
rnacentral:misc_RNA from 1 species